rnacentral:rRNA from 1 species
AGAGUUUGAUCCUGGCUCAGGAUGAACGCUGGCGGCGUGCCUAAUACAUGCAAGUCGAGCGAACAGAUAAGGAGCUUGCUCCUUUGAAGUUAGCGGCGGACGGGUGAGUAACACGUGGGUAACCUACCUAUAAGACUGGGAUAACUUCGGGAAACCGGAGCUAAUACCGGAUAACAUUUAGAACCGCAUGGUUCUAAAGUGAAAGAUGGUUUUGCUAUCACUUAUAGAUGGACCCGCGCCGUAUUAGCUAGUUGGUAAGGUAACGGCUUACCAAGGCGACGAUACGUAGCCGACCUGAGAGGGUGAUCGGCCACACUGGAACUGAGACACGGUCCAGACUCCUACGGGAGGCAGCAGUAGGGAAUCUUCCGCAAUGGGCGAAGGCCUGACGGAGCAACGCCGCGUGAGUGAUGAAGGGUUUCGGCUCGUAAAACUCUGUUAUUAGGGAAGAACAAAUGUGUAAGUAACUGUGCACAUCUUGACGGUACCUAAUCAGAAAGCCACGGCUAACUACGUG